CUCAGCUCAAGGCCUGAGUCAUUCCAUUAAGUGAGCAUUCUCCCAGCCAACAGCUGCAAAAUACCAGAUUGGCAUGAAGCAGUGUGAGGAUGCAAGGACAUAAUGUCUGUAAUCACUCAGCCAGUGCCUGGCACAAAGGACGCCCCCAAAGGUGUUGAGACCAGGAUACUUCACAGAAAGUCUUAUUUCUGCUCUGAGUCCACGAUUCUCAAAGGAUGUGGAAGGGGCUGAAGGAGUGAGUCCUUUGCAAUGGAGAGGGACUAGAGCCUGCCUGCUCGUUUGGAAGCUAACUCCUUGAGAGGACUUGGAGACACUUCUUCAAUCAAGACAUACAAAUGGCUAUCAGA